rnacentral:rRNA from 1 species
GUGAGUAGUUCAGAGUUUGAUCCUGGCUCAGGAUGAACGCUGGCGGCGUGCUUAACACAUGCAAGUCGAACGAAGCAUUUUAAAUGGAGUCUUCGGACAAAGUUUUUAAUGACUUAGUGGCGGACGGGUGAGUAACGCGUGAGUAACCUGCCUUGUACAGGGGGAUAACAGUUAGAAAUGACUGCUAAUACCGCAUAAGCACACAGGACCGCAUGGUCCAGGGUGAAAAGAUUUAUCGGUACAAGAUGGACUCGCGUCUGAUUAGCUAGUUGGUGAGGUAAUGGCUCACCAAGGCAACGAUCAGUAGCCGACUUGAGAGAGUGAUCGGCCACAUUGGGACUGAGACACGGCCCAA